rnacentral:rRNA from 1 species
AUUACCGAAGCUGUGGAUUGUCCUUUGGACAAUGGUAGGAGAGCGUUCUAAGGGCGUUGAAGCAUGAUCGUAAGGACAUGUGGAGCGCUUAGAAGUGAGAAUGCCGGUGUGAGUAGCGAAAGACGGGUGAGAAUCCCGUCCACCGAUUGACUAAGGUUUCCAGAGGAAGGCUCGUCCGCUCUGGGUUAGUCGGGUCCUAAGCUGAGGCCGACAGGCGUAGGCGAUGGAUAACAGGUUGAUAUUCCUGUACCACCUAUAAUCGUUUUAAUCGAUGGGGGGACGCAGUAGGAUAGGCGAAGCGUGCGAUUGGAUUGCACGUCUAAGCAGUAAGGCUGAGUAUUAGGCAAAUCCGGUACUCGUUAAGGCUGAGCUGUGAUGGGGAGAAGACAUUGAGUCUUCGAGUCGUUGAUUUCACACUGCCGAGAAAAGCCUCUAGAUAGAAAAUAGGUGCCCGUACCGCAAACCGACACAGGUAGUCAAGAUGAGAAUUCUAAGGUGAGCGAGCGAACUCUCGUUAAGGAACUCGGCAAAAUGACCCCGUAACUUCGGGAGAAGGGGUGCUCUUUAGGGUUAACGCCCAGAAGAGCCGCAGUGAAUAGGCCCAAGCGACUGUUUAUCAAAAACACAGGUCUCUGCUAAACCGUAAGGUGAUGUAUAGGGGCUGACGCCUGCCCGGUGCUGGAAGGUUAAGAGGAGUGGUUAGCUUCUGCGAAGCUACGAAUCGAAGCCCCAGUAAACGGCGGCCGUAACUAUAACGGUCCUAAGGUAGCGAAAUUCCUUGUCGGGUAAGUUCCGACCCGCACGAAAGGCGUAACGAUUUGGGCACUGUCUCAACGAGAGACUCGGUGAAAUCAUAGUACCUGUGAAGAUGCAGGUUACCCGCGACAGGACGGAAAGACCCCGUGGAGCUUUACUGUAGCCUGAUAUUGAAAUUCGGCACAGCUUGUACAGGAUAGGUAGGAGCCUUUGAAACGUGAGCGCUAGCUUACGUGGAGGCGCUGGUGG